UUUAUUUCACAACUACACCUCCAUUACAACUUCCAACAAAAAACAACUAAUUUUUUAUAAUAACAAACAAACAGAGAACAAGUAUUAAAAAAACUAAUUUCUACAAUAAUUUCAUUUCUUGUCUCAUUUCAAUUAUAGUAGGAUCAUACAUAAUGAAAUUAUUUGGCAGCUGCGUUUCAAUAGUUGCUGAUGAUUUUUCUUCAUUUAUAGCUUUGCACUUGCCCAAGAAACCGCAUUUUCCAUUUGGGCACGCAUAGUAGAUUCGACCUUCAUUUCCAUUCUUAUUGGAGCGGGUAAUUUAACAAACCGCAAAUUGCCCACCAUGCUUCCUGAUGCCAAGUUGUCUUUCUACAAAUUAAAAUAACAAAUAAACAAAAUACAAAAUACAUCACGGUUUGUUUAUAAACUUUUCUUUAAUGGUACGAGGUUAAAGAUAGGAGAUCAACUUAGUUGCAAGUGAUCUAAUACGAAGUUGCAUUAUCAGUUUAGCUCUCUAAACAACCAAACGAGUGUGCUGCUGACUCCAAGCCUUGAUAGCAUGCGAAGGUAAACUGAAAAAUGCUACUGAAACAUAUUUUAACUUGAGCACACUAUAAUUCAAUGUCAACAUUUGUUAAUACUUCCUCCAGCAGUAACAAUCAAUAUUUAGCCAUAUCUUUGUCAUACAUAGAACUUUGUUCUUACUAAUACUGUUGAUUUCGUAUUUAAGAAUGGAUAGAUUCACAUAACAUUAUACCUUUUAGUUUGAAAUAACAGAACCCAAAUGAAGGCACAACAUUUUGCAUCAUGCUUGUGACCAUAUAUGAAGCCCCUUACCCCUAAAUUUUCAGAAAAUACCUGGUGGAACCCAAGGGAACUUUGCAAGGAAGACUCUGGCGUACAGAUCGUGACAUUAAAACCAAAGAUGGGAACUGAUAUUUCCACAAGGGAAUUGAUAAUUCCGCAAGGUUCCCCUCAC
rnacentral:lncRNA from 1 species